UACAGAGGGGGCAAGCGUUAUUCGGAAUUAUUGGGCGUAAAGGGCGCGUAGGCGGCUUGGCAAGUGGAAGGUGAAAUCCCUCGGCUCAACUGAGGAACUGCCUUCCAGACUGCUUUGCUUGAGUCCGGGAGAGGUGAGUGGAAUUCCCAGUGUAGCGGUGAAAUGCGUAGAUAUUGGGAGGAACACCAGUGGCGAAGGCGGCUCACUGGACCGGAACUGACGCUGAGGCGCGAAA
rnacentral:rRNA from 1 species